rnacentral:rRNA from 1 species
UACAGAGGGUGCGAGCGUUAAUCGGAAUUACUGGGCGUAAAGCGCGCGUAGGCGGCUUUGCAAGUCGGGUGUGAAAUCCCCAGGCUUAACCUGGGAACUGCAUUCGAGACUGCAUUGCUAGAGUAUGGGAGAGGGAAGUGGAAUUUCCGGUGUAGCGGUGAAAUGCGUAGAUAUCGGAAGGAACACCGGUGGCGAAGGCGGCAUCCUGGACCGAGAUUGACGCUGAUGCGCGAAAGCCAGGGGAGCAAACGGG